UACGAAGGGGGCUAGCGUUGCUCGGAAUCACUGGGCGUAAAGCGCACGUAGGCGGAUUCCUAAGUCGGGGGUGAAAUCCUGGAGCUCAACUCCAGAACUGCCUUCGAUACUGGGAAUCUUGAGUCCGGGAGAGGUGAGUGGAACUGCGAGUGUAGAGGUGAAAUUCGUAGAUAUUCGGAAGAACACCAGUGGCGAAGGCGGCUCACUGGACUGGUAUUGACGCUGAGGUGCGAAAGCGUGGGGAGCAAACAGG
rnacentral:rRNA from 1 species